rnacentral:rRNA from 1 species
GUGAGCAACCUGGCCUUGACACUGGAAUAACAGUUGGAAACAGCUGCUAAUGCCGGAUACGACCUUCGGUGGCAUCACCUGGAGGUGGAAAGUGCUUAGCGGUCAAGGAUGGGCUCGCGGCCUAUCAGCUAGUUGGUGAGGUAACGGCUCACCAAGGCUUCGACGGGUAGCCGGCCUGAGAGGGCGACCGGCCACACUG